rnacentral:rRNA from 1 species
UGCCUACGGGGCGCAGCAGUGAGGAAUAUUGGUCAAUGGGCGGAAGCCUGAACCAGCCAAGUCGCGUGAGGGACUAAGGCCCUGCGGGUCGUAAACCUCUUUUGCCGGGGAGCAGUGGUCCGGACGCGUCCGGACCGGGAGAGUACCCGGAGAAAAAGCAUCGGCUAACUCCGUGCCAGCAGCCGCGGUAAUACGGAGGAUGCGAGCGUUAUCCGGAUUUAUUGGGUUUAAAGGGAGCGUAGGUGGAUUGUUAAGUCAGUUGUGAAAGUUUGCUGCUCAACCGUAAAAUUGCAGUUGAAACUGGC